GAUGAACGUUGGCGGCGUGCCUAACACAUGCAAGUCGAACGAACUCGAUUCUUCGGAUGAAGAGUUAGUGGCGCACGGGUGAGUAACACGUAGGUGACCUGCCCCGAAGCGGGGGAUAACCACUAGAAAUGGUGGCUAAUACCGCAUGUGCUUAACCAUUCGUUUGGUUAAGUAAAACUUUGGUGCUUCGGGAGGGGCCUGCGGUCGAUUAGCUAGUUGGUGAGGUAAUGGCUCACCAAGGCGAUAAUCGAUAGGGGGCGUGAGAGCGUGACCCCCCACACUGGAACUGAGACACGGUCCAGACUCCUACGGGAGGCAGCAGUGAGGAAUAUUGCCCAAUGGACGAAAGUCUGAGGCAGCAACGCCGCGUGGGGGAUGAAGGCCUUCGGGUCGUAAACCCCUUUUCUGUGGGAAGAGAAAGGACGGUACCACAGGAAUAAGUCUCGGCUAACUACGUGCCAGCAGCCGCGGUAAAACGUAGGAGGCGAACGUUAUCCGGAAUUACUGGGCGUAAAGCGCGCGCAGGCGGCUGAAUAAGUCUGACGUGAAAGCUCCUGGCUUAACUGGGAGAGGUCGUUGGAAACUGUUCAGCUUGAGGCAGUGAGAGGGGUGCAGAAUUCCCGGUGUAGUGGUGGAAUGCGUAGAUAUCGGGAGGAAUACCAGUGGCGAAAGCGGCACCCUGGCACUGAACUGACGCUCAUGUGCGAAAGCGUGGGUAGCGAACGGGAUUAGAUACCCCGGUAGUCCACGCUGUAAACGAUGAGUACUAGGUGUAGGCGG
rnacentral:rRNA from 1 species